UACAGAGGUCCCGAGGCGUUGUUCGGAUUCACUGGGCGUAAAGGGUGCGUAGGCGGCCAACUAAGUCGGAUGUGAAAUCCCCAAGCUUAACUUGGGAACUGCAUCCGAUACUGGAGUGGCUUGAAUCCGGGAGAGGGAUGCAGAAUUCCAGGUGUCAGCGGUGAAAUGCGUAGAUAUCUGGAAGGAAUACCGGUGGCGAAGGCGGCAUCCUGGACCGGCAUUGACGCUGAGGAGCGAAAGCUAGGG
rnacentral:rRNA from 1 species